rnacentral:rRNA from 1 species
AUCGAACGCUGGCGGCAUGCCUAACACAUGCAAGUCGAACGAGUGGCGGACUGGUGAGUGAUUUCGGGAAACCUGCCUGAUGGAGGGGGAUAACUACUGGAAACGGUAGCUAAUACCGCCUACCAUCGGAUGUGCCCAGAUGGGAUUAGCUAGUAGGUGGGGUAAAGGCUCACCUAGGCGACGAUCCCUAGCUGGUCUGAGAGGAUGACCAGCAACACUGGAACUGAGACACGGUCCAGACUCCUACGGGAGGCAGCAGUGGGGAAUAUUGCACAAUGGGCGCAAGCCUGAUGCAGCCAUGCCGCGUGUAUGAAGAAGGCCUUCGGGUUGUAAAGUACUGUCAGCGGGGAGGCGUUACCCGCAGAAGAAGCACCGGCUAACUCCGUGCCAGCCGCCGCGGUAAUAC